GGAUAUAUGGAGAUUUUGUUUGUUAUAAUUACGUAAAAGCUAUUUAAAAAAUUUUUUCAUUGAAAAUGAUUUAUGUAUCAUACGUCCUUUUAUGUGAUUAUUAUAUGUCAUGUCCAUUUAUGUGAUGUGAUGAUUCUUUUGUAAGUGAAACAAAAAAAGUUGUACCUAUUUUAUUUUUAAAUUUAUGUUUUUAUUUAUACAUUUACAUUUCGCGGAAAAAUAACAUAAUUAUUGCGCGCGCCGGCAUCGAGCGCGCGUUCGCAUGAUCGGUAGACAAGAGAUAGAAAAGACUAUAUAUUGUUUUCUUCUACGCUAAACAUUCGACGUCGAAGCAUCGGUCUGUUGAUUGUCGAGCGCAGUGGAACGCACAUGUUUGUACACGUUCGUGUAUUAUGCAGCCGGGUUUUCUUUUGUGUGUGCCUAGGCUAUCUUGCGAGUAUUGGCGCUUUAGUUAAUUGAAUUAUUAACCUUAUUUCCCAUUAUUGCCUUGAACGGAAAGCUGUUCUGUUCCGCAAAAAGAAGAAGAGCUCGGGUUCGAUUUCAUCAUCAUCUCUCCCUCUCUCUCUCUCUCUCUCUCUCUCUCUACAGAAGGUGGGAAAAGCCAGUUCAUUAAGACGUUCAUCUCCAAGACGUUCACCUUGUAAUAUUGUACUAAGUUCGAAAAGUUCCUCAUCAAGAGGAACUGAGUCUUCACAGCGCUUACAUGACAUUCCAUUAAAUACUUCACUUAGGCACUCAUCAGAUUUGUUUCGUGUUAUUAUUACAAAAUUAGGAGCAUUAGAAAACUCAAUGAAUAUACUUCUUCCAAUGGUGAAGCAACUUAUAGUACACUUCCG